UAGCAAAACUCGAACAGCGCCGAUGAACCCGAAGUCACCUCGAACUCAGAUAAAAUCCAUGAGAAAAGGUCAACUCAAAAACUAAGUGUAUUUUUCGGAUUUUAGAAGUAGAAGCUGAUUUUCUUUUCCUGUAAUUUUAAGAAAAUAAACUAAAGAUUGAAUUAGACUCUUUUUUUUUGUAUAUUUGCUUUUCUGGAACUUAAACUCAGACUGAAGAUGAACCAAAUGAGAAGAAGAAGAAGAAGAAGAAGAAGAAGAAGAAGAAGAAUAAGAAGAACUCCCCCUUAGAGCCCUAAUUUUUUCACUUUUCUUCCUCUUUUUUUCUAAAAAUACCCCCCCCCCCCCACCCUAUAAAUCCCCAAACCCCCCCCCCCCCCCCCAAAUAUAUACUCCAUCUCGAAACUUCUAUCCUUGUCCUCCAAGAAAACCCGAAAAUCCUCUAAAAACCUCCAAAAUUUGAUUUUUCGACCGGUAAAGGACAACUGGAGGGAGUAGAUUGAGUGAGACUCAAUCCUACGCCCCCCAUUAAUUCUAAUCUAGUCUUUAAAUGAAAUUCGGGUGAGAUGAGCGCGUGAGGGAGAGGCGGGCUCAAUUUGUCAUAGUUUGUUAUGGAUUCGGCUGACAUGGAAGGAAUAUGAGGGGAGGGGACCAUGGAGGGUUCGUUUAUUGUGCGGUUUGGGUUGGUUUAGGGUGGCAGAAGGGUGUGAGGGAGAAGAGGGGUGCGGCUAGGG
rnacentral:lncRNA from 1 species